ensembl:lncRNA
AUGCACACAUGAUUUAGGUUCGAUGUUAUAUGUGUUUUAUGUUCUCUGUUACAAUUCUCUAUCCUUUGAGUGAGGACUCACAAAUUGUGUGUGAGUGCAUAUGUGAGAAAGAAGGAUAGAGACAGAAAGGGCAUGAAGGUGUGUGUGUGUGUGUGUGUGUGUGUGUGUGUGUGUGUGUGUGUGUGUGUGUGUGUGUGUAUGCGUUGUACUUCUAUAAGAAAUAAGAAAAGCUCAGUGGUGGUGUUUAAUUUUUGUAAAUACUGAAAAAUAUUAAAGAGUUAUAUAUCCUAGUAUAGCUGUUUUAUUUCCGUGUACAUGCAAGUCUAAUAUUUUAAAGAAAAUGCAGAAAUGUGUAUUCUCUAUUGUGUUCAAUGAUAACAUAUUUUAAAAGAAACAUAACUGAGAUUAUUGUUUUACCUUCUCAAAUGCUUCGCUAUUACAUGGCUAAUGGUUUCUCUGGACCAUUUUAUAGAGUUGUCUGCACAAAUGCAAUAAAUUGUCGUUUUAUUACACAUAUUGUUGUGGCUGCCUUUUGUUGAAAAUCACUGCUUUGCUUUCCAGCGAUAUUAGUUGGAAGUGAGAAAUACAAAACGACAUCAGACAUUAACACAGAGUUGAAUGACUGUUUUUAAAUGACAACUUUUCACUAUUUUAAACAUAUUUACAAAAACAUGCACAAAAUGAAUCUGUUCCCAUCAAUGAUAGUCAAAAAAAAAAACCUUAAGAUAAUGUAAAAGAUUAGGAAGACAGGAUCCAGGAUAGUCGGUGUAUGGAAAGAAAUCAGCACCUAAACAGCAACAUAAUGACUGUUCAUUAAUUAGUUAAUUCAUUCAUUCUUUUUUAGCGACCCAUUAUAUUUCCAGGUUUAUGGUUAGGUUUGAUGUUGCUUUCAUGAAUAAAAUAAAGAAAAAAUACAUUGCCACAGCCAACCAUGGCUGGAGGUUAAGAAAGCAAAACUGGCCAUGCUCCCCGGGUGGAUUGGAGGUCAUGCUCUCUCCCCUGUUAAUCACAAUGACAUG